UACGUAGGGACCAAGCGUUGUUCGGAUUUACUGGGCGUAAAGGGCGCGUAGGCGGUCGUGACAAGUCACUUGUGAAAUCUCCGGGCUUAACUCGGAACGGUCAAGUGAUACUGUCGGACUAGAGUACAGAAGGGGCAACUGGAAUUCUCGGUGUAGCGGUGAAAUGCGUAGAUAUCGGGAGGAACACCAGUGGCGAAGGCGACUUCCUGGCCUGUUCUUGACGCUGAGGCGCGAAAGCUAGGGGAGCAAACGGG
rnacentral:rRNA from 1 species